AAAACGGAGAGUUUGAUCCUGGCUCAGGAUGAACGCUGGCGGUAUGCUUAACACAUGCAAGUCGAACGGACUCUUAGGAGUUAGUGGCGGACGGGUGAGUAACGCGUGAGAAUUUGGCUUCAGGUCGGGGACAACAGUUGGAAACGACUGCUAAUACCGGAUGUGCCGGAAGGUGAAAGAUUAAUCGCCUGAAGAUAAGCUCGCGUCUGAUUAGCUAGUUGGUGGUGUAAGGGACUACCAAGGCGACGAUCAGUAGCUGGUCUGAGAGGAUGAUCAGCCACACUGGGACUGAGACACGGCCCAGACUCCU
rnacentral:rRNA from 1 species